rnacentral:lncRNA from 1 species
AAUCUGAGCAUCUCGCUCUUACUCUAUUCCAGAAGCCCCAAUUCCAAUCAAAAAAUCUGAAGAGCCAGUGGAUCGCUUCCUCCGUAGCCAACAAAUCGCCGCCGUUCAGGCUCCGUGCGAAGGCACAGAACCGUGCCCCAUUGUCACACAGGGACCGCGCGCCGUUGCCGCGCAUGAACCACGCACCACCGCCGCGCAGACACCACCGCCGCGCAGGAGUCACACGCCGCCGGCUACUAGCAGAGGGGGAAACCCCCGAUUAUCUUAAAUUAACAUUUAUUUCUGAGCAAUUUCGAG